CACGUAGGCACCAAGCGUUGUCCGGAUUUAUUGGGCGUAAAGAGCUCGUAGGCGGUUCAGUAAGUCAGGUGUGAAAUCUUUGGGCUUAACCCAAAGCGUGCACUUGAUACUGCUGUGACUUGAGUUCGGGUAGGGGAGUUGGGGAAUUCCUAGUGUAGCGGAUGAAAUGCGCAGAUAGUUAGGAGGAACACCGGGUGGCGAAGGCGCCACUCUGGGCCGAAACUGACGCUGAGGAGCGAAAGCGUGGGUAGCAAACAGG
rnacentral:rRNA from 1 species